rnacentral:rRNA from 1 species
GGAAUAUUGCACAAUGGGCGCAAGCCUGCUGCAGCCAUGCCGCGUGUAUGAAGAAGGCCUUCGGGUUGUAAAGUACUUUCAGCGGGGAGGAAGGGAGUGAGGUUAAUAACCUUAUUCAUUUACGUUACCCGCAGAAGAAGCACCGGCUAACUCCGUGCCAGCAGCCGCGGUAAUACGGAGGGUGCAAGCGUUAACCGGAAUUACUGGGCCUAAAGCGCACGCAGGCGGUCUGUCAAGUCGGAUGUGAAAUCCCCGGGCUCAACCUGGGAACUGCAUUCGAAACUGGCAGGCUGGAGUCUUGUAGAGGGGGGUAGAAUUCCAGGUGUAGCGGUGAAGUGCGUAGAGAUCUGGAGGAAUACCGGUGGCGAAGGCGGCCCCCUGGACAAAGACUGACGCUCAGGUGCGAAAGCGUGGGGAGC